GGUUGGGUGAGCGAGCUGCCUCCAGCUCCUAGAGCUAUAAGCCAGGGCUGUCCUCACUCUGCAUGCCCUCACUUCUCCAUGGGCCUAGGAAAUGUUAGGAACGUGAAGACUCUGUGUCCUGCCUCCAGGAUCAGCCUAUACUAGUUUCCUGAUGACUCCCAUUCCCAACAGAUGUCCAGAGUCCUUUCCCCGGAACCCACCAUCACUGUCUUCUCAUUCCUGGAGUUCAGGAGUGAAGGGCCGGGGUUGGGACCCCCACUGUGACUCGGACUUGGGCCUCUAGCUGUGUGUGUGUGUGGGGGGGGGGCAUGACAGCAGGAAUGAUGAGGAUCCUAAUAGGGUAAGACAGCAGGCCUCCUUCCUGAGCCCCUCUUUGGCAUCUUGUCUGGUCUGCUGGGUCGUUUCUUCCUGGUCCAACUUCCCUUUGCUCCUCCCAGAGCCUCGCCCCUGAAGGCUCCACAGAGUAGUAAUGAAUGGGUUGGCGGUACAUGCCGGAAUCUUUAUUUCUGUAACACCCUGUCUCCCUGGCCACCCCACAUUCUCCCAGGAGAUUUAUCUUCUUCAAGUUCCCACACAUCAGGCCUCUGGGGGAUAUGUAGGUCUGGGAAACCAGAAUUCACCACCAUCAAUGGUGGGGAGGAGGCUGUUGCCAUGAGACUUCAGGCCUAUCCAUCCCCUCCACUCCCGUCCCUCCCAGGCGCCUUAGCCAUCUGUGUCCUUAGGCUUCUGGAAAACAGACAGCUCAGCUCCCUCCACCCCUGCCUUCCUCUGUCCAUGCUUGAGCUUCUGAUCUCUACUCCAGGGCACUUGCUGAAUAGAGCCUUGUUCUCUGCCGCCAGAGAGGGAGCCCAUACGGCAAGGGCAGCCCCAAGGGGACUGGGCUGCUUUUAUCCCAAGAUGCCAGGAUGUCAGCCCCGGGUGCUGUACAAGCUCCCAGCUCAAUGGACUUCUCGGAAAGCAUCGAAGGGGGCCUGGAGUACAGCGGGAAGCAGGCUGUGUGCCCACCCCUGAUCAUUGUGUCUAUGCCAAGGGCAAAACCUCAAUGCCUCCCGGGACAAUCCCACUUCUGGUCUCAACUCAUAUACACAGUGCCUGGUGUUUCCUACCGAUGCCAGACUCUAAUUCCAGUGGCCAUGCAAUUCCAGUGUCACCCGCAGGCUUUGCUUGCACACCUGCCCCUGCCCAGCAGAGAUCAAGACUGGCUGGCUGACCCCAUCCCAUGGUGCUGCCCAGUGGAAGGGAAGUGAGCCCCAGGACCACUAGAUGGCAGUGCUCAGCUGCCCAGGCAGAUUCACCUCUGCUGUGACGGUGCCCUCUUGAGACGAAAUCAAUACUUUGGCUCCUCUGUGGCUGUGAAGUCUUGGAUGACCCAGGAACCGUCACCGAAUCCAGAUCUGUGAAAUGAGGACUUACCUUCCAAGAACAUUAUCAGUGAGAGACAGCCACAUCAGGCACUGUUGUCAAACCAUAGCGUUCAUCUCAUAAUGCCUGGGAGUAUGUGAGAACCUUCUAAGGGAGGUCACGCGGCAGUGUGGCUAGGACCAAGGAACCGCACAACAUUCAUCCCCAACUGUCCUGGUCACCUCUUCACAGAACUAUGGAAAGCCAGGCAUGGUGGCACUCUGUGAGUUCCAGGGUAGCCUGGUCUACAUAGCGAGUUCCAGGACAGACAACACUACAUAGAGAGACCCUGUCUCAAACAAACAAAUAAACACAAAAGAACUAUGGAAGAGAAGACAGCCAUGACUUACAUGCUACCUGGAACCAGGAUCAUUCUCCAGGGAGAAUCUGGAGACAGUCUCAUCGCCCAUGCAAGUCAGAUGGAUGCUGCAUCUCAGCUGGCUGCCCCCCCCCCCCCCCCCCCCCCCCCCCCCCCGCAGCCCCCGCCAGCCCGACUGCCUAUGGCAUGCAGGACACCACACAGCAAGCUCUCGGGCCGACCUCCUGUGAUUGAGGGCAGGAGCCGCACGUGCCUUGCUCCAUCAGCCCAGAGUCUCUGUACAUUUUACGGGUCACCCGAGAGCACACUUUGUACCACGGAGCCGCAAAUGUUUGCGCAGUGAAUGGCUGGCUGCUGAACAUCCUUGUCAAGAGUGACCUCUUCCACUGUCCGGCUGCCCCGCGCCUGGCAAACUCUGCCUCAUGCAAGGACCCGUUGUGCAUUGCGUGCCCUCCUGGCCCUCCUGGCCCUCGUUACUGGCUGCCUUGCCCCGUGCCGACUGCCUCUGCCCUUGGAGGGCGAUAGUGAUGAUCAGAAGAGGUCAUAUAUGUGAAGACCCCGGGAAAUGGAGAAGUUAUUCCAUCGGAAUCCAGCCAUCACUCAGCGAGGCCUCAAGUGAAAGUGCCGUGCCAACUGCCAGGGGAUACAGAUGUGAAUCUGUGACGGCUUCGAGGGAGCCACGGAACACAGGGGAACAAACUCAUUAAGACUAAUUGGAGAGGCGGGAACCCCAUGCCUGGGAAGAAAAAUGAUGUCUGUUCACUUGAAAAAGGAAGCAGUCCUGUGUUAUGGAGAAACCAGGAUGUAGGCUGGGUCCCAAAUACUUGCUGUCCAACUGUGGGCAAGUUGGGUGGAGGUGUUUGAUUCUGUUUCUCUCAUCCGUCUCAUAGGGCCAGCGUAAGCUGAGACACAGCCUGGCAGCACAGGGAAGCUCAUCCACCUGCUUUUCCUCACUCUCCUGAUCAGGGACAGAAAUGAGCAGGAGGGGUCCAGGCAUUCUUUGAACCUGGCAGCAUUAUUUACACACUAAUCACAAUGUGCUAAAUACCCUUAAAAAUGUUUGUUUUCAGGAGCAAGUUCAACACAAGCGCCUGUAAUUUUGUUUACACUAUUAAUUCACUCAGCCAACCAUGUCUUCGUGGGGAGAACAGAGAUAACCAUGCUCAGCUGCUAUACAAUCCAGCGAGUGGAAAGGGAGGCCCCCAAGAGCUGGUGGAGGGGUGGGGAGAGAGGAGCAGGCCGCAAUGGACUCUAGCUGGGACUCAGUUGGAGCCUCAGCUCAGACCUGAGUCCAACCAAAAAGGCCUUCCUGACAGCAGAGUGACCCACCGUAAGGUGUAAUAGACAUCCAAGUGAGAUUCCUUUGAAACCCACUGGGAGCAAGGAUCCUGCAAGGAAGAAAAUAUCAUGUGUGUGCAUAUAUGAGUGCGGGUAACAUGCAUGUCACAGCAUGUGUGUGGUCAGAGGACAGCCAUGGAGUGGGUUCUGGGAUUGGACUGAGGCUGUCGUGCAGGCCUGCAAACAAGUGCUUUUACCUGCUGAGCCAGGUCCACGGAGAGGAUCUGCACUGUACUGAGGAGCCAGGUUCAGGCCCCAGAACAGAAGGCUGCAGGUGGCCAGGAAGGUAUUGUUUCCUGGACUCCUAAGUUCCUUGAACCCAGGACUGCAAGCAUGCCAGGCAAGCAAGCGCCCUACCACUCUGAGCCACAGCCCUAAAAGUUUCCUGUUGAUUUUUUUCACACUAUUUAGGAACAGUUGCCCUCUAACUCACGAUCCUCCUGUUUCAGCUUCCCAAGUGCUGGGAUUACAGGCGUGUGUCACCACACUCAGCUUGACAUCUUAAAGGUAAGAAAGGAGAGGUGGCACUAACCUCUGAGGGUGUAGAAGGAAGAACACACUCCAGAGGUGCAGAUGAUUUAAUAAUCAUUACAGUAGAAAAAUCUAUAGAUCUAUAGGCAUACACCUGUGUGUAUAUACAUAUAAAUAUUUACAUAUAAAUACACAUAUAUGGGAAAGUCAAGGACACUUAAAUACCAAUGUAACUAGCUAGCAUUUAUAUCUAAGUGGUAACAUUAAGGCUACAUUCUCCUCUCUUCUUAUACACUGGGUGUAUGGCCCGUGUUUAGUGAGUGAAAAUAAUAUAAACCAAAGCUACAUCACCAAGGGGUGAGGCAUUCCCACCCCAGGCUGUGGGCACAGGGCUGAAGAUGCCCAUCUCAAACACCA